GGGCUGUGUUUCCUUGAGAGAGUGAGUACGAGUCUCUUGCAGUACCAGUAGUAGUAGUAGUAGUAGUAGUAGUAGUAGUAGUAGUGGUAGUAGUAGUAGUAGUAGUAGUAGUAGUAGUAGUAGUAGUAGUAGUAGUAGUAGUAGUAGUAGGAGUCGUAGUAGUAACAGUAGAAGUAGUAAUAGUGGUAGCAGUGAUGGUGGUGGUGGAGGGUGGUGGCAAUAAUGAGUUAAUAAGAAGUAGGUGGGGUAGGUGAGAUAUUUUGUGUGAGAGAAGAAUGUGUAACACUGGAAAGGAAGAAUGCAGAUGAACUGGAUGAAAGAAUCAAUAGGGAUGAAGUGGAGAGGUGUGUGAGAAGGCAGAAGAAUGGCAAGGCAGCAGGUCCAGAUGAUAUACCCUAUGAGUUCUACAAGAAUGGUGGGGAGGUAGUGAUAGACAGAAUGACUGAGUUAUUCAACCGAGUGUGGGAUGAAGAGAGAGUGCCAAGAAAGUGGAAUGAGAGCCGAGUGUGUCUGUUGCAUAAGGGAGGAUUUAAGAGUAAGAAUGAGCUGAAGAACUACAGGCCAAUUGCAUUAGUGAAUACAGUAGGUAAAGUUUUCAGUGCAGUGUUGAAUGAGAGACUGUGUAAAUGGAUUGAGAGAGCUGGAGUGCUGGGUGAAGAACAGAAUGGUUUUCGUAGGGACAGGAGAGCUGAGGACAAUAUGUUUGUGGUGAAUGAAAUGAUUGAGAAGAAAAAGAAGGAUGGGGGUAAAUUGUACCUAGGUUUUUUGGAUAUAGAGAAAGCUUAUGAUAGAGUGAACAGAGAAAUGUUAGGUAGAGUCUUAGAAAAGAUUGGAUUGAGUGCAAAGAUAGUUAACGUAGUGCAAAGUAUGUACGAGUAUGUGGACACAAGAGCUAGAUACAGGCUAGGAGACAUAGAAACAGACUGGGUGAAGAGUGAGAGAGGAGUUAGGCAGGGCUGUAUAUUGUCACCAACCCUUUUUAGCCUGUAUACAGAGGAGCUAGCAGCCAGGAUGAGAAGAAUGAAUGUAGGGGUAAGUGUGGGGAAUGAUAAAGUAUGUGUGCUCCUUUAUGCAGAUGAUGUAGUUGUUAUGAGUGAAUCGGCAGAUGAGCUUCAAAGUUUGUUGGAUGUGGUGGAUGGCUAUGGUAAAGACUUUGGAGUAAGGUUUAGCAGUGAGAAAAGCAAAGUAAUGAUUGUGAAUAGGUCAGAGGAUGAAAGUAAUGUGGUAUGGAGACUUGGAGAGAAUGAGUUGAGAUAGGUGCAAGAAUACAAGUACUUAGGGAUGUGGAUGAGUCCUAGUGGGUGUGCAAAGGCAAAGAAUGAAAAGAUAAGUAUGGUAAACCAGUGGGUAGGUCGAUUGGGAAGCGCGGCAAGGAUGAGAGCAAGUAAGUAUGAUGUGUUGAGAGAAGUGUGGAAGAGUGUGGCUGUGCCAUGUAUAAUGUAUGGUAUGGAUGUGAUUGCAUGGAAGGAAAGUGAAAUUGAUAAGUUAGAAGUGGGCCAGAACAAAGUAGCAAGGAUGGCACUGAGUGCACCGAGGUGCACAGCAGUUGAAGCCUUGAGAGGUGACAUGGGAUGGAGCACCUUCAGAGAAAGACUCACAAAAGCCACACUUAGGUACAAGAUUAGGCUUGAGAGAAUGGAUGAUGCAAGAAUAGCAAGGAAGGUGUACCUGUGGAAUGAAAGUGGAAGCAAAUGGAGGAAGAGAUGCAUGAGAAUGACAGACAGGAAUGAAUUGCAAGUUGUGUGGGCGAUAAGAAUGGCUGCUAGGAAUCAAAAUGAGCGUGAAUGGGUGGUAACAAGAGGAGGCAGAGUGGGAGCCGAAUGGGAUGUGAGAAAAUGGAAGAAUGAGAUAGACAAAGAAGUGAAAUGUGUGGGACUGAAUGAAUGGAAGACUGAGAUGGAAAGAAAGAAGACCCUGGAAUGGUACAAGGAGAAAGACGCCCCGAGGUAUGAAAGGUGGUAUGAUGGAAGCCUGGGCGGUGAUCUUCUCUUCCGAGCGAGGGCACAGUGUAUGGAUGUGAAUGCAAGGAGUUACAGGUGGUCUGAGUCCCGCAGCAAAGUGUGCCAGAUGCGUGACAUGGGAGAGGAUGAGACGGUGGAACAUGUGGUGCUGGAGUGUGUGCAGUAUGCCAGAGACAGGAAUGAGAUGAUGCAAGUGAUACUGACUGAGUUAGGGCAUGAUAGGAAUGAAAGAGUGGAGAAGACAGGAAAGGAAUGGAUGGUGUUGUUGCUGGGACUGUGUAGAGAGGCGAAUGAAAGGAUUAUUGAGGCGGUGAAAGAGUUUCUGGAGAGAAUGUGGCGUGCCAGGUGUAUGAACAAUUAGGAUAGAGGAUGCUGUUCGUUUCUCUCUUUUUUUUUUUUUCCCCCUUUCUACAGGAGUUGCCGAUCCAAAGGCCUGGCUCAGGAGUGAUCCUGUGCCACCUCUACCAUCAAGAUCAAGAUCAAGAUGGCGAGUCUGCGUACAAAAUUGCAUCGGAGGGGUUGGUAGAGGCAGCCACAAUUAUCCAUCAUCAUCGGCGACACCAUGGCUCUUGAGAAGACAAACAGACCUCAAUGACAGCGUGGUGAGCGAGGAGGGGGAGUCAACCAGCAGAGUAGGGGAGCAUGACCCCUACUUUGAACCAGUGGUGACCUUGCUGGAGGUCUUCGUGGUUAGUGAUGAUGACCAGGAGGAGGAAAUGAUGAGACUGAGUUUCGAGAUCAGGCAGUACAAGCUGUUUCAUUAUCACACCUCUGAGUCGCCCCCACAGUGGAAGGAACGGGGCAUGGGGGCCAUUAACAUUCUGAGGAACAAGCAGAAGAAGGCUGUGGAGUUUGUUCAGCGGCAGAAUUAAUGCCAGUGGCUGAGUUCAGAUCCUCCAAGACACACACACACACAGCAGCCCCUCCACCUCCCCACAGCCCUCCACAGCCCCUGACACAGCAUCUAACACAGCCCCUUCACAGAACACCACAUACCUCACACAUACAUAAGAACAUAAGAACAUAAGAAAUAAGGGAAGCUGCAAGAAGCGACCAGGCUUACACGUGGCAGUCCCUGUAUGAAAUAUACCUACCUAUUUCCAUCUGUUAUCUCCAUCCAUAAACUUGUCUAAUCUUCUCUUAAAGCUCUCUAGUGUCCUAGCACUAACAACAUGAUUACUGAGUCCGUUCCACUCAUCUACCACUCUUUUUGAGAACAAUUUUUUUUCCUAUCUCCAUCCUAAACCCAAAUUUUUCAAGCUUGUACCCAUUAUUUCUUGUUCUACCCUGGUUGCUGAUCCUAAGAAUUUUGCCUACAUCCCCCUUGUUAUAACCCUUAUACCACUCAAAGACUUCUAUCAGGUCCUCUCUUAACCAACGUAUCUCUAAAGAAUGUAAAUUUAACAGCUUCAACCUCGCCUCGUAAGGAAUACUCCUCAUCCCCUGUAUCCUUUUAGUCAUUCUCCUCUGUAGUGAUUUUAAUAGACCUAUAUCUUUCCUGUAAUGUGGGGACCAGAACUGCACAGCGUAGUCUAGAUGAGGUCUGACCAGCGCCAAGUAUAACUUUAAUAUUACUUCCGGCCUUCUACUUUUAACACUCCUUAAAAUCACACACACCACAGGAGCCUCACAAACAGUCUCACAGCCUUCACAAGCAGCCCCACACUCCACCACAGACACACCAGACCCACAGCCCUUCACCUCACCCACUUCCCAGCCCCCCACAGCCCCCCGGCCACCACAGAUGAAGUCAAAGGGAGGGACUGUGGCUUCACCCAGCCAGCCAGGACAGCCUACAGAGGGGGUAGUCCCAGUCAAGUCACAAAAUAUAGGCUUGGUUCUUCCUACAGUUUGAAGUCAAUGAUUGGACAGGCCAGACAGCUUAGUGGCAGAGCUGCAGGUGGUCCUCGUCAGCUUCCUGGUGGCACAGGUGUAGGAUGGCUGGGAGCAGUGGAGGUGCCUGAUGGGGCAGCUGUGCCGGGCAGAGGGGCUGCUACUGCUGCUGCUGCUGCUGCUACUGCUGCUGGGGAGAGCCACACUUGUAUGACCCAUGGUUACUGACCUCGACUCAAACACCAUCGUGGCACUCUCUUCCCUGUUAAACUUGCCGGGAUCCAUUGUAAUGUAAGGGGUAUUGAAUGUGAGCGAUGAAACAAGAAGGUAGUGGCAAGGGGGAAAUGUACAGGGGAGCGCAGGAGAGACACCUCUCUCCACUGUGCCUGACAGUCUCUCAGUGAUUGAAAGACUGAGCAUAACAUCUUCAGGGCACGUGAGUUGCCAUGUGGUAACACGGAGAGGAAGUGGAAGAAAGCUUGGAACGCUCCCAUAACUCAGGAGCAAGAGGUACACCAUACUGGAACCUUGUGACUGACAGGUGGCUGUGACUGCAGGAACCAAUUCAUAUCUCACUUGUGUUGGCUAACAUUCUGUCUGCAAUCAGUCCGGUAGUGCCAUGUUGCAGGCUCUGACGUCAGGAAGAGCCAAAUGGAGGGUGUGUCUACAGCCAGUACUGGGUGUGCUGCUGCUGUACAAGUGCCCCAAGCCAGCUGACUCCACCAGUGUAUUAUCUAGUCCAGGUUGCAUUGCUGUGUGUAUGACUUGUAUGUCUUUGCCAAUAAAUAAAUUUGUGACUACUAUUAUAUAUGUGAAAUAAAUAUAUAGUUUGCUAACAACAAUGUGCUGGUAUAGUGUAAAAUAAAUAUUUGGUGGUAACAAUUCAUGCCCUCAAGGUAAUAAAAAAAAAAGUGCCAGGAUUGUUGGCCCAAGGCCCAAAAAUAAAGUUUAAGGUAUGAUUUGCACAGAAGCCCCAUCCCAA